rnacentral:misc_RNA from 1 species
AAGUCGUAACAAGGUUUCCGUAGGUGAACCUGCGGAAGGAUCAUUACAAAUCCGAAUAUCCACGAUGUGUGUGGUUUAUACUCACACACUCGAUUCUUAACUCUUGACCCUUGUAUGAUGUGAGUGACAACAAAAGAAUACCUUUUGACAAUGGAUCUCUUGGCUCUU